CACGGGGGGAGCAAGCGUUGUUCGGAAUCACUGGGCGUAAAGGGCGUGUAGGCGGUUUUGGUAAGUGGGAUGUGAAAUGCCUCGGCUCACCCGAGGACCGGCAUCCCAAACUGCCAAGCUUGAGUAUGGGAGAGGAUGUGGGAAUUCCUGGUGUAGCGGUGAAAUGCGCAGAUAUCAGGAGGAACACCGGUGGCGAAGGCGGAUCUCUGGGCCAUUACUGACGCUGAGGAGCGAAAGCGUGGGGAGCGAACAGG
rnacentral:rRNA from 1 species